rnacentral:rRNA from 1 species
UACAGAGGUGGCGAGCGUUAUUCGGAAUUACUGGGCGUAAAGGGCUCGUAGGCGGCCAACUAAGUCGGAUGUGAAAUCCCCAGGCUUAACCUGGGAACUGCGUCCGAUACUGGAAGGCUUGAAUCCGGGAGAGGGAUGCGGAAUUCCAGGUGUAGCGGUGAAAUGCGUAGAUAUCUGGAGGAACACCGGUGGCGAAGGCGGCAUCCUGGACCGGUAUUGACGCUGAGGCGCGAAAGCCAGGGGAGCAAACGGG